rnacentral:tRNA from 1 species
CGCGGCGUGCGCGGCCGCGGUGGCAUCGAUGCGUUCCUGCCAGGUGCGCAGGGUGUCCGCGUGUUCUUGGGCCGCUCGCGUCGACUCGUCGCGA